CAUACAUACAUUGGCAGAAAUAUAGUCAUUUUUGGCUGUGUCUCUAUGGGCAGAUCUGAAGGCAUGUAGUAAGGCUGUCAAGAAAAGGCAUUGGUUAAAAGUGCUUAUAUUCUAAAUUUACUUUUCAAAUUUCAAAAUUA